rnacentral:rRNA from 1 species
AUGGCGACCGGCGCACGGGUGAGUAACGCGUAUCCAACCUGCCCUUUACUAUGGGACAGCCCGUCGAAAGGCGGAUUAAUACCGUAUGUUGUCAUGUUGAUGCGUAUUUUCAUGACCAAAGGCUUCGGCCGGUAAAGGAUGGGAUGCGUCUGAUUAGCUUGCCGGCGGGGUGACGGCCCACCGGGGCGACGAUCAGUAGGGGUUCUGAGAGGAAGGUCCCCCACAUUGGAACUGAGACACGGUCCAAACUCCUACGGGAGGCAGCAG